rnacentral:rRNA from 1 species
GACGAACGCUGGCGGCGUGCCUAACACAUGCAAGUCGAGCGGGGUCCAUCCGGUAGCAAUACCGGGGAAGACCUAGCGGCGAACGGGUGAGUAACACGUGAGAAACCUGCCCCGAAGUCUGGGAUAACCCGAGGAAACUCGAGCUAAUACCGGAUGUCUUCUUCUGAUCGCAUGGUCGGAUGAAGAAAGGUUUAUCGCUUCGGGAGGGUCUCGCGGCCUAUCAGCUAGUUGGCGGGUAACGGCCCACCAAGGCGCCGACGGGUAGCUGGUCUGAGAGGACGAUCAGCCACACUGGGACUGAGACACGGCCCAGACUCCUACGGGAGGCAGCAGUGGGGAAUAUUGCGCAAUGGGCGAAAGCCUGACGCAGCAACGCCGCGUGCGGGAUGAAGGCC